GUACUCGCUUCAGCAGCACAUAUACUAAAAUUGGAAUGAUACAGAGAAGAUUAGCAUGGCCCCUGCGCAAGAAUGACAUGCAAAUUCAUGAAGCGUUCCAUAUUUUA
rnacentral:snRNA from 1 species